rnacentral:snRNA from 1 species
GGAUGUGAGGGCAAUCUGGCUGCGACAUCUGUCACCCCAUUGAUCGCCAGGGUUAAUUCGGCUGAUCUGGCUGGCUAGGCGGGUGUCCCCUUCCUCCCUCAAUGCUCCAUGUGUGUCCCUCUUAAAGCUGCGCGCUUGGUGGAAGAGGACAGCCUUCCCCGAAUAGAGACCGACCGAUCUUUAUCGAGAGUAUAAGAGUAGCUGUGCUCCCCUGCUAGAACCUCCAAACAAGCCCUCAAGAAUUCAUGGUUGAGAGGCAUGAAUACUUUACAAAUAAAUAACUUGUGAAGUACAGU